rnacentral:misc_RNA from 1 species
ACAGGAGGAUUCAUCCAUGGAACAAGGAACUAUUAAGUGGUUUAAUGACGAAAAGGGUUACGGGUUUAUUUCCCGCGAAGCUGGUGACGACGUGUUCGUUCACUUCUCCGCCAUCCAAGGCGACGGCUUCAAGACUUUAGAAGAAGGUCAAUCGGUAACGUUCGACGUUGAAAACGGCGACCGUGGGCUCCAAGCAGCCAACGUUUCUAAGUCGUAAUCAUUUUUAAAAAGCGGGUGGUGACUUAUGUCGCCGCCCGUUUU